GUGUUUGUAGGUGCUGCUGCCGCUGGCUGUGUGGGGGACCCAGCUGUGAGGCCGUGGCCAGGGUGGAGCUCAGGAUGGAGGAGGGUGACCUGGGGAGGAGAGGCCGUGGCCGUGGUGCAGCUCCAGUCCGCCACCUGCUGGUGAUGCAGAGGAUGACGAGAGCCCAGCAGGUAGCGGUCGGCGUCUGAGCGGGGCAAGAAGUCGGAUCAGGCAGUGGACGGCGUGGAGAGCGGGUCGGAGGAGGUGACGCCGAGGCCCUGAUCCGGAGGGCCGAUUGAGAGGAGGCGAGCGAGGGCGACUCCAGGCAGCGUUCCUGUCCUAAUAAAAACAUGCACGUGUUAUUCCUGGCUGGGCUUCUAUUGGUGGUGUGGUUCUGGUUCAAGUCAUGUGGCAGAAGAAUGGCAUGGAGGACUUCAAGGUGCAGUCCAGGAUGUGGGAGACGAUCUGGAGCGAUGUCUGAAAUCAGGUGAGUGAAUGUCUGUCUGACAACAUAGCU